AUAAUUUAGGGAAGGAAAAACAGAAAAUUUAAAUUAGGAUUUUCAAGGUCAUAUUUAGCACUAAAAAAAAUUGUUUGUUUCUUAGAACAUUAAAUCAAUCUCUAAUAAUCUAAUUAAAUUUUUUUAGAAUCACUUGGUGGUACAUGAGUACAAGAAGUUUCCUUAUAGUUCAUAUUUUCUAAGCAAAUAAGAAAAUUUAGUUAUGGACCCAAAUAUACGUCUCAUUGAUGAAUGCAACUACAGAUCCAUUAGAAAGGGAAAAAGUUCUAUUCCAAAAAAUGAAUUGUUCAAGAUUUUGUAUCCUUCCAAAAGACUAGACGAAAUAUAUUCGCUAACGAUGAUUUUUUCAUGACAAGACAAAAUGUGACGAAACGAAAGAAGACGAAUCAUAAAUUUGAUAACAAAAUUAAUACUGGAGUAUUCAUUGAUAAAUAAAUUCUUUUUACUCGUCAAUGGUUCCAAUUGAAGAUUUGAAGAAGGUGCUAUUCCAUUUGCUUUAAUUAGCAACAUCCAACAAGAUACGUUACAUUUGGAUCGGAUCAUUGGUCUUGUUAAAUGAUGUCAAUACAAAAGUUUAUAGAGGCAUUAUACCUAAUUUUCAGACACAUACUGCCUUUACUUAUAUCUUCAAGGAUAUUAUAAUUUGUAAUUCAAUAAAACAAAACUUUA
rnacentral:lncRNA from 1 species